GGCAGCAGUGGGGAAUAUUGGACAAUGGGCGCAAGCCUGAUCCAGCCAUACCGCGUGGGUGAAGAAGGCCUUCGGGUUGUAAAGCCCUUUUGUUGGGAAAGAAAUCCAGCUGGCUAAUACCCGGUUGGGAUGACGGUACCCAAAGAAUAAGCACCGGCUAACUUCGUGCCAGCAGCCGCG
rnacentral:rRNA from 1 species